GCCAGCAUAGUAUAAUGGUUUGAUCAUAGGACUAUGACUCCAAAGACCAGGGUUCAAAUCUCUGCUCAAUCA